GACCCAGACUCCUACGGGAGGCAGCAGUGGGGGAUAUUGCACAAUGGGGGGAACCCUGAUGCAGCGACGCCGCGUGGGUGAAGGAGUAUUUCGGUAUGUAAAGCCCUAUCGGCAGGGAGGAAGCAAGACGGUACCUGACUAAGAAGCCCCGGCUAACUACGUGCCAGCAGCCGCGGUAAUACGUAGGGGGCAAGCGUUAUCCGGAUUUACUGGGUGUAAAGGGGGCGCAGACGGCGAUGCAAGCCGGGAGGGAAAGCCCGGGGCCCAACCCCGGGACUGCUCGUGGAACUGCGUGGCUGGAGUGCAGGAGGGGCAGGCGGAAUUCCUGGUGUAGCGGUGAAAUGCGUAGAUAUCAGGAGGAACACCGGUGGCGAAGGCGGCCUGCUGGACUGCAACUGACGUUGAGGCCCGAAAGCGUGGGGAGCAAACAGGAUUAGAUACCCGCGUAG
rnacentral:rRNA from 1 species